UUGCAGGAGCCUCCCGAGCUAAUCUGAAUACAAAAACUUGAGGAAAUAAGCCCCAAAGCUCCUGCUAGAUUGUGUGCUGCCGUUUGUGUUGCACGUUUGCCUUGAUUCUCUAGUCUUUCCUGUGUCAAAAACAUGGUUGAAUUU
rnacentral:snoRNA from 1 species